rnacentral:rRNA from 1 species
UGGGAAAUAUUGCACAAUGGGCGCAAGCCUGAUGCAGCCAUGCCGCGUGUGUGAAGAAGGCCUUCGGGUUGUAAAGCACUUUCAGCGGGGAGGAAGGCGUUAAGGUUAAUAACCUUGGCGAUUGACGUUACCCGCAGAAGAAGCACCGGCUAACUCCGUGCCAGCAGCCGCGGUAAUACGGAGGGUGCAAGCGUUAAUCGGAAUUACUGGGCGUAAAGCGCACGCAGGCGGUCUGUCAAGUCGGAUGUGAAAUCCCCGGGCUCAACCUGGGAACUGCAUUCGAAACUGGCAGGCUAGAGUCUUGUAGAGGGGGGUAGAAUUCCAGGUGUAGCGGUGAAAUGCGUAGAGAUCUGGAGGAAUACCGGUGGCGAAGGCGGCCCCCUGGACAAAGACUGACGCUCAGGUGCGAAAGCGUGGGGAGCAAACAGG